rnacentral:lncRNA from 1 species
AGCACAGAGGAAAUGAUACAGGCUGUGGAGAAGGCUCCAGAAAUGAGCACAUCAGAGGCUCUGGGGUUGGCUCCACAGCCCCAGGACAGCGGGGUCUGAGUGGUUCUCUCGACUCUAACUCUCCCCUUUCCUUCUUAUGGCCACCCCAUCACCGCUGCUCCUCCGGACACUCUGAUGCUUGCUUCACAGAAUUGGAAGACUCCACCAUUACAGGCAGCCACCAGCAGAUGUCAGCAAGUCCUUCCUCUGCACCUGCAGAAGAAGCAACAGAAAAGACCAAAGUGGAAGAGGAAGUGAAAACCAGAAAGCCCAAGAAGAAAACCAGGAAGCCCAGCAAGAAAAGCCGGUGGAAUGUCCUGAAAUGUUGGGACAUUUUUAAUAUAUUUUAGAGACCUCUGAAGAUUCCUCGACCACCAGGAAGGGCCCCGACGUGGGGAUGUCAACAUGGCUCAGACUUGAUGUGGAUCGUGAUCAUUUCGGGAAAUGUGUUACUCCAAAAACUUUUAUAAUCUUUGCUUAAUUUGUUUUUAAAUACUUUCCUGGCUGGGCGUGGUGGCUUAUGCCUGUAAUCCCAGCACUUUGGGAGG